rnacentral:rRNA from 1 species
CAGCCGCCGCGGUAAUACGGAGGGAGCUAGCGUUGUUCGGAAUUACUGGGCGUAAAGCGCGCGUAGGCGGUUACUCAAGUCAGAGGUGAAAGCCCGGGGCUCAACCCCGGAACUGCCUUUGAAACUAGGUGACUAGAAUCUUGGAGAGGUCAGUGGAAUUCCGAGUGUAGAGGUGAAAUUCGUAGAUAUUCGGAAGAACACCAGUGGCGAAGGCGACUGACUGGACAAGUAUUGACGCUGAGGUGCGAAAGCGUGGGGAGCAAACAGGAUUAGAUACCCGCGUAGUCCCUGUCUCUUAUAC